ACAAAGAUGUCCAUUUCCCUAAGCUGUUGUCCAUCAGACUAAGAGACAGCAUUGUCAUAUAACAGUGAAAACAAUCUAAAGGGUUGCCACAAUGGAGGGAUCUGAAGAGAAGCUGUAUCCUGUAUCAAAGACGUGUGGACAGCAAUUCAUAGAGGAUGCCAGUUCAACAUCAAUGAGUCAAAGAAGCUGACAGCUUCCCUUAAGGUACUACAAUGAAAACUAGACAGACCAGCUUGCACAUAAUAAUCACUGAAGGGACCACCAGAAAUACUCAGAGGACAAGAUUUAUAUUCUGGUGAUUUAUCAUAGAAAAGAAUUUCUGCCAUGAUGACUGUCAAGACUGGUAUCACAUUAAAUCCGGAGAGGAGUCUACACAAGUGUGACUGUAUAUCGAUAUUUCUAUCUCAGAAGAAAACAUCAGACCUUCUCCAUAAUUCUACAACACUCUGCUUCAAAAACAUACAUUGCAUUAUCACGGAAUUGCAAAUACUGGACACGCUAAACUGAAUUUUGUUGCUUUGGACAUCAUUUUGUCGAACCUGGCUAAAAUUAAUUUCCAAGCCAUAUGCUCAGUCUGUUAAAACAAAUUAAAUUGUAAUUCGAGUGGGGGGGUUAAUGUCCGCUGUGAAAAAUAUCAUUUCACACUGCGUGACCCGGGAGACAUAAAGGUUAAUCUGCCAGGAUAGGAUUUAUUAUGCCAUGCCGUCCACAGGACUCCUGAGCUGUGAAUUGCAUAAAGUGGGCAGUACUCAAAUAACUCUGUUAAAUAUUUCUGUACUGAUUCAUUUUUGUACCAAUUUGAA